rnacentral:rRNA from 1 species
AGUGAACGCUGGCGGUAGGCCUAACACAUGCAAGUCGAACGGCAGCACAGUAAGAGCUUGCUCUUACGGGUGGCGAGUGGCGGACGGGUGAGGAAUACAUCGGAAUCUACUUUUUCGUGGGGGAUAACGUAGGGAAACUUACGCUAAUACCGCAUACGACCUACGGGUGAAAGCAGGGGAUCUUCGGACCUUGCGCGAUUGAAUGAGCCGAUGUCGGAUUAGCUAGUUGGCGGGGUAAAGGCCCACCAAGGCGACGAUCCGUAGCUGGUCUGAGAGGAUGAUCAGCCACACUGGAAAUGAGACACGGUCCAGACUCCUACGGGAGGCAGCAGUGGGGAAUAUUGGACAAUGGGCGCAAGACUGAUCCAGCAAUACCGCGUGGGUGAAGAAGGCCUUCGGGUUGUAAAGCCCUUUUGUUGGGAAAGAAAAGCAGCAGGUUAAUACCCCGCUGUUCUGACGGUACCCAAAGAAUAAGCACCGGCUAACUUCGUG